AUUGAACGCUGGCGGCAUGGCUAAAACAUGCAAGUCGAGCGCGAAAGAGGAGCAAUCCUCAAGUAGAGCGGCGAAAGGGUGAGUAAUACGUUCCUACGUACCUCGAGGUCAGGGAUAGCCAGGGGAAACUCUGGGUAAUACCUGAUGUGGUCGAGAGAUCAAAGGCUUGCCGCCUUGAGAGCGGGGAACGUCCUAUCAGCUAGUUGGUGAGGUAACGGCUCACCAAGGCUUUGACGGGUAGCGGGUGUGAGAGCAUGGCCCGCCACAUCGGAACUGAGACACUGUCCGGACUCCUACGGGAGGCUGCAGUAACGAAUCUUCCGCAAUGCGCGCAAGCGUGACGGAGCAAUGCCGCGUGCAGGAUGAAGCCCUUCGGGGUGUAAACUGCUGUCAGGGUUUAGAAACACAAUGAUCAAACCCAAAGGAAGAGACGACUAACUCUGUGCCAGCAGUCGCGGUAAUACAGAGGUCUCGAGCGUU
rnacentral:rRNA from 1 species